CGAUGAAAUCGAACGACGCCCAGCUUGGUAUCAGCGCCGCCCGGAUGGCCUCCGGUAUGACGUCGCGUGCCCGCCGACCGGAACCCCACAAUUUCGCUGGGUAACCGGAGCUUCGUGCUGUCUG
rnacentral:sRNA from 1 species